rnacentral:rRNA from 1 species
CCUACGGGAGGUAGCAGUGGGGAAUUUUGGACAAUGGGCGCAAGCCUGAUCCAGCCAUGCCGCGUGUGGGAAGAAGGCCUUCGGGUUGUAAACCACUUUUGUCAGGGAAGAAACGGCUUUUUCUAAUACAGAGAGCUAAUGACGGUACCUGAAGAAUAAGCACCGGCUAACUACGUGCCAGCAGCCGCGGUAAUACGUAGGGUGCAAGCGUUAAUCGGAAUUACUGGGCGUAAAGCGUGCGCAGGCGGCUUUGCAAGACAGAUGUGAAAUCCCCGGGCUCAACCUGGGAACUGCAUUUGUGACUGCAUGGCUAGAGUACGGUAGAGGGGGAUGGAAUUCCGCGUGUAGCAGUGAAAUGCGUAGAUAUGCGGAGGAACACCGAUGGCGAAGGCAAUCCCCUGGACCUGUACUGACGCUCAUGCACGAAAGCGUGGGGAGCAAACAGGAUUAGAUACCCUGGUAGUCCACGCCCUAAACGAUGUCAACUGGUUGUUGGACGGCUUGCUGUUCAGUAACGAAGCUAACGCGUGAAGUUGACCGCCUGGGGGNGGACGGCGCGAGUAGUAACGACGAAGAAGUAGACGGCGUGAGACGUAGCCGACGGACGACGACGAGGGAGGAGG